rnacentral:rRNA from 1 species
AUUGAACGCUGGCGGCAGGCCUAACACAUGCAAGUCGAGCGGAUGAAGGGAGCUUGCUCCUGGAUUCAGCGGCGGACGGGUGAGUAAUGCCUAGGAAUCUGCCUGGUAGUGGGGGAUAACGUCCGGAAACGGGCGCUAAUACCGCAUACGUCCUGAGGGAGAAAGUGGGGGAUGUUCGGACCUCACGCUAUCAGAUGAGCCUAGGUCGGAUUAGCUAGUUGGUGGGGUAAAGGCCUACCAAGGCGACGAUCCGUAACUGGUCUGAGAGGAUGAUCAGUCACACUAGAACUGAGACACGGUCCAGACUCCUACGGGAGGCAGCAGUGGGGAAUAUUGGACAGUAGGCGAAAGCCUGAUCCAGCCAUGCCGCGUGUGUGAAGAAGGUCUUCGGAUUGUAAAGCACUUUAAGUUGGGAGGAAGGGCAGUAAGUUAAUACCUUGCUGUUUUGACGUUACCAACAGAAUAAGCACCGGCUAACUUCGUG